rnacentral:rRNA from 1 species
CAGGACGAACGCUGGCGGCACGCUUAACACAUGCAAGUCGAACGGAGUUAUCGAGAGCUUGCUUAGAUAACUUAGUGGCGGACGGGUGAGUAACACGUGAGCAAUCUGCCUUAAGAGGGGGAUAGCAGUUGGAAACGACUGAUAAUACCGCAUAAGAUAGUAGUACCGCAUGGUACAGCUAUAAAAGAUUUAUCGCUUAAGGAUGAGCUCGCGUCUGAUUAGCUAGUUGGUGAGGUAACGGCUCACCAAGGCAACGAUCAGUAGCCGGACUGAGAGGUUGGACGGCCACAUUGGGACUGAGACACGGCCCAGACUCCUACGGGAGGCAGCAGUGGGGAAUAUUGCACAAUGGAGGAAACUCUGAUGCAGCGAUGCCGCGUGAGGGAAGAAGGUUUUAGGAUUGUAAACCUCUGUUGACAGGGACGAUAAUGACGGUACCUGUUGAGGAAGCUCCGGCUAACUACGUGCCAGCCGCCGC